UCAGUUUUUUAAUCUGAAAGUUUAUCAGAAACCUGCAUUCUAGAGCAAGUGUCAGAGUCCUUUCCAUGAAUCUCUCUCAAGACGAAACAUAUUUGCAAAGACAUCAGAGUAUAGGGCCGGCCCCAUGGCUUAG